UCCCCCCAAACUCAGAGCACCUGGGUGCUGUUGAGUCUCCUCCCACCCCAGGUGUGGCCACUUUGCCCUCCCUGCCCACUCCGCUUUAUAAUCAGCUCCAGGAAAGGCAGAAGCCUCAAGUUUGCCCAACUGGGCAGAGGGAUCCUCCUCUCUCAUCACCGGUGAGUCCCCAUGGUGUGCACUGGGUGAAUGGUGGAGGCGAUCAAAGGCCGGGGGGCCUGGUGUGGCCCCCCGGCAGGCAGGGUAGGUCUCUUGCUUAUGAUCAUAUCAUACACAGGUGCUGUGUCUCCUUAGGCUGAGCUUCUCUUUGUUUAGGUGCUUCUUUCUGCUUGCUCAUGAAGCGUUGAGGUACUUGGUGGAACUGGAAGCUUACAGUUACAGGAUAUAGCAACUAAAUAAGAGGAAUCCUCCUGGAAUCUGUGCAAACUAUGAGAUGCUUUCUAUGGAGGAAUGAUUUAAAUGAUACUGAUUCCAACAUGGAGUUCUUCAUUGCCUCCAUCUUUGCAGAAACUCCAAACUUGUCUGGAGAAGAUCCUCAGAAACCUACUCUAGUUGACUCUCCUUUGACCAUGGGAUGAAACUGGAUGAUUUUCAGAGUUUCUUGUCAACCUCAACUAUUAUGUGAUUUCAUGGCUGACAGUGGUGAAAAUAAUAAAGCUAAAUGAGAAUAUGGAAA